ACCCUAUGUUUUAUGUUUUCACAAUGCUCUUUUUUCCUGCUAACGUCAUUCACAUCUUCAGGUGAACACCUUUGAGUUCAGCCAAUCUCACAGAAGGACCCAGCCUCUAGGGCUGUCUUGUCAAUCUCACAGAAGGACCCAGCCUCUAGGGCUGUCUUGUCAAUCUCACAGAAGGACCCAGCCUCUAGGGGCUGUCUUGUCAAUCUCACAGAAGGACCCAGCUUCUAGGGCUGUCUUGUCAAUCUCACAGAAGGACCCAGCCUCUAGGGCUGUCUUGUCAAUCUCACAGAAGGACCCAGCCUCUAGGGCUGUCUUGUCAAGUUCUCUUUACUCAGUGGUUUGGCUCUUAAGGAAUGAUCAGAACAGACAACAUUGAUAUCCUCCUACUCUUUCUGCUUGUUGUCUGCAAGGACUUCAAGGAAAUCUUGUCAGAUACCUUGCAUAGUCUGUCAGGUUCGUGACACAUCCAGAUGCUUGUGAUUUCCUGGAGCCCAGAAGCUCUUUGGGACACCCAAAUAGCCCGGCAUUGUCUAUGUGCCCAUGGACGUGGGCUGCCUGUGGAGCCUUUAACUGUGGCUACACCUACACCAACAGCAAAUGGCUGUCCCUUCCCUGCAUCCUUCAGCCAUCGGUGGCUGCUCAGCCACUAGCAGCUGACAUCUGGGCUUUUCUUUUUUAGGUUUUGGGACAGGAGCCAAUGUAGCCCAGACAGGCUCCAAACUGGCCAUGCAGCAAAGUUCUGGGAUUACAUGUGUGCUACCAGAGCUAGAGUAAAUGCCUUUUCUAGAUAUCCGUUUGUCAUGAGAGGGCCUGGCGUGUAGACCAGGCAGCAGCACUCAUGUGUGCUCCUGCUUCCUAAUUUCUAUUGUGGAUUGUUUUACGUCCACUUCUAACAUUAAUUUUUUCAUUUUAUAUAUUUUUUGUUCUUAGCAACUUUUCCUAUAAAAUUGGGAGAUUAUAUGCUCUUUGUAAUUAGCUUAAAUUUUUCUUUGAGAACAGUUAUUCUUUAAUCGAAUACGUUAGCUUUAAUGAACUCCACUCCAUUUUUUUCCUCAAGACAUCUUCCCCUUACGCUGUAACUUUUGAUUCAAAAUCCAGAUUCUUUAAGCAACACAGUAAAGCGAAUAGUAAAGAUAGGAACUAUUUCUCUCAUUUUUGUGUUCAAGAAUUCUUGUUUCCUGAAUGUUUUCUUAUGGCGUGUUUUCCUACCCAUGAGGCAUCAGGGUUUCCCAGCAGCCAGAGCAUUUAGAAGCCUGAUGGCACUCAGUGCAUGCGGCAGGCUGUCAGGCCAUGGCCCCGUGACUGAAGGUGGAGAGCUGGGGUGAGGAGUGCAUUCAUUGGCUCAUGACACUGCUGUUCAGGACCAACAGCAGGUUCCCCUGGAUUUCCUCAAAGUGACAUCACCUGGCACACAAUCUCUGGCCACCAGUGAUCUCUACUUCAUUCUGCAAUGCAUUUUGUUGCCUCCUCUCAUGCCCACACUCCUUAACUUAGCUCUCACUUCUCCAUAAAGUCAGUGAGCUACACCUACCCUCUCUAAAGGCCCAGGUUACCCCACCUCUUCUCACACACCUACAUGAAGAGUCCCUGAAGGUGGGCCUGGAAUCUUGCUUAUGCAAAUAGGAACCAAUAUUCUCAUCCCAUGGAGACAAAUCAAGCACAAAUACAGGGAUAACCUAAGUAAUCAUACAGUAUCCUGCCACAAAACUAGUGUGCUGGAAUGAAACCACAGAGUCUCCAUGAUCUCCCUGGAGGUGAGAGAGGCUAAGCCAUAAGAAUGUUCCUGAGGGGGUUGGGGAUUUAGCUCAGUGGUAGAGC
rnacentral:lncRNA from 1 species